UGCAGCCCCGUCAAAUUCGGUCCCUGCCCCCUCCGUGGUGGGGACCGGCCAACCGGCUGCCACAGCAACUUCUGUAGUCCACGAGCUCCCCCGUCCCCUUCCCGUGGGACGCUGGGGGAUAAAAUCACACCACGGACACGU